rnacentral:Y_RNA from 1 species
AGCUGGUCUGAGUGCAGUAUUGUUUACAACUAACUGAUCACAACCAGUUAUAGAUUUCUUUGUUCAUCUCCACUCCCACUGCCUCGCUUGAUAGCAAAAA